GUAGUCCCGGCUGUAAACGAUGGACACUGAAUGGAGGAGGGUUCACCUUUCUCUGUUGCAGCUAACGCGUUAAGUGUCCCGCCUGGGGAGUACGGCCGCAAGGUUAAAACUCAAAGGAAUUGACGGGGGCUCGCACAAGCGGUGGAGCAUGUGGUUCAAUUCGAUGCAACGCGAAGAACCUUACCCGGGCUUGAAGUGGAGGUGGUAGGAGCCGGAAACGGCAACGACCCCGAAAGGGGAGCCUUCAUCAGGUGUUGCAUGGCUGUCGUCAGCUCGUGUCGUGAGAUGUUAGCUUAAGUGCUGUAACGAGCGAAACCCUUGCUGUUAGUUGCAAACCCGAAAGGGUGCACUCUAGCAGGACUGCCCGUGCUGAAUGGGAGGAAGGUGGGGACGACGUCAAGUCAUCAUGGCCCUUAUGUCCGGGGCAACACACGUGCUACAAUGGCCGGUACAAAGGGUUGCCAACGCGCGAGCGGGAGCCAAUCUCAAAAAACCGGCCUCAGUACGGAUCGGAGGCUGCAACUCGCCUCCGUGAAGCUGGAAUCGCUAGUAAUCGCGGAUCAGCCACGCCGCGGUGAAUA
rnacentral:rRNA from 1 species